rnacentral:rRNA from 1 species
GACGAACGCUGGCGGCGUGCUUAACACAUGCAAGUCGAACGGAGUGAAGGGGAGCUUGCUCCUUGGAACUUAGUGGCAAACGGGUGAGUAACGCGUAGGCAACCUGCCCUUCAGAUGGGGACAACAUUUCGAAAGGAAUGCUAAUACCGAAUGACGUGCAUUGGUCGCAUGACCGAUGCACCAAAGGCCGGGCAACCGGUCACUGAAGGAUGGGCCUGCGUCUGAUUAGCUAGUUGGUGGGGUAACGGCCCACCAAGGCGACGAUCAGUAGCCGGUCUGAGAGGAUGAACGGCCACAUUGGGACUGAGACACGGCCCAAACUCCUACGGGAGGCAGCAGUGGGGAAUCUUCCGCAAUGGGCGCAAGCCUGACGGAGCAACGCCGCGUGAGUGAAGAAGGUUUUCGGAUCGUAAAGCUCUGUUGUCAGGGACGAGAGACUUGAUCAGGAACAUGCGUCAAGGAGGACAGUAC